CCACAAUUGCAUACCACUUUGGCAAGUUUUCUACCAUUCCAUUCACUCCAAAUUUUGCUCCAAUUGCCCCUGCUACAAUUGCCUAUUGAAUAAUACAACAAGCAAAACUGUUAAGAAAUCGACUAUUAUUGUUUUUUAUUUGCCAUUGCUGAAAGAGAAGAAACGAAGAGGUCUGUAGUUUUGUUAUCGUGCAUGGGUAAAUCUUUGAAGAGAAGCGCUAAGUUUAGGGGGAGCCUAAACGUACAAGAUCAAUAAAGCCUGAGCUGAGAAUAGAUCUUGAGAUAGGUGACGUCAAGUUUAAGGGGAGUCUAAAUAAAUUGUCUAUUUAAGGUUUACUAUAUUACUUGAUAGUUGUUCUAUCAGUUAAGUAGUUUCUCUUGUAAACCUUCUGAAUAGUACUUAGCUUCUUUUUAAUUUGGGCAUUAUGCCCCCCAGAUGUAGGUAAAGUUAUACCGAACUGGGUUAACAUAUUGUGUGUUAUUUUUCUUCUCUGCUCGUUUCUUUUAUGUUAAUACUUAUGUCAGCAUCAUUGUGUC